GACGAACGCUGGCGGCGUGCUUAACACAUGCAAGUCGAACGGAAAGGCCCUGCUUUUGUGGGGUGCUCGAGUGGCGAACGGGUGAGUAACACGUGAGUAACCUGCCCUUGACUUUGGGAUAACUUCAGGAAACUGGGGCUAAUACCGGAUAGGAGCUCCUGCUGCAUGGUGGGGGUUGGAAAGUUUCGGCGGUUGGGGAUGGACUCGCGGCUUAUCAGCUUGUUGGUGGGGUUGUGGCUUACCAAGGCUUUGACGGGUAGCCGGCCUGAGAGGGUGACCGGCCACAUUGGGACUGAGAUACGGCCCAGACUCCUACGGGAGGCAGCAGUGGGGAAUAUUGCACAAUGGGCGGAAGCCUGAUGCAGCAACGCCGCGUGCGGGAUGACGGCCUUCGGGUUGUAAACCGCUUUCGCCUGUGACGAAGCGUGGGUGACGGUAAUGGGUAAAGAAGCACCGGCUAACUACGUG
rnacentral:rRNA from 1 species